AAAAUGCGAUACGCAAUGCGAAUUGCAGAAUUCCGCGAAUCAUCAGAUUCUUGAACGCAACUGGCGCUGGAGGGAUAACCUUUCAGCAUGUUUGUCUCAGUGUCUGAAAACUUCCAAAUCAUCCUAAUGUGUUUGACAAAGACAAAUCAUUUAUAUGAUUGAUCCCAGUCUUACAUGAAAGAUGUAUGUGUGGAUCUUUGGAUCCAUCGAAUUGGUCACUGAUUUUUCGGUGAUUUCGAUUGUAUCACCAAUUACCUGUAUACACAUAGAAACAAAACUUUCUUUAUCAUCUGCAUCUGAAAUCAGGCAAGAAAACCCGCUGAACUUAA
rnacentral:misc_RNA from 1 species